CAAUAGCGUAUAUUUAAGUUGUUGCAGUUAAAAAGCUCGUAGUUGGAUUUCGGGUGGGACGCAGCGGUCUCGCAUUGCGUUUGUACUGCUGCAGCCCUCCUUCUUGCCGGGGGCGGCCUCUCGGACUUCACUGUCUGGGGGUCAGAAUCGGCGAUGUUACUUUGAGUAAAUUAGAGUGUUCAAAGCAAGCUUACGCUCUGAAUAUAAUAGCAUGGGAUAACACGACAGGACUCUGGCCUAUCGUGUUGGUCUAUAGGACCAGAGUAAUGAUUAAGAGGGACAGUCGGGGGCAUUCGUAUUCCGUUGUCAGAGGUGAAAUUCUUGGAUUUACGGAAGACGAACAUCUGCGAAAGCAUUUGCCAAGGAUGUCUNCAUUGA
rnacentral:rRNA from 1 species